rnacentral:rRNA from 1 species
UACGUAGGGUCCGAGCGUUGUCCGGAGUUACUGGGCGUAAAGCGCGCGCAGGCGGCGGUAUAAGCAUGGCGUGAAAGCCCCAGGCUUAACCUGGGAGGGUCGUCGUGGACUGUACCGCUUGAGGGCGAUAGGGGCUGGUGGAAUGCCUGGUGUAGUGGUGAAAUGCGUAGAGAUCAGGCGGAACACCCGUGGCGAAGGCGGCCAGCUGGGUCGUCCCUGACGCUGAGUGCGCGAAAGCCAGGGGAGCAAACGGG